AUCCAGUGCUGGCGAGCAGGCCCUCAACAAGUACACUCAUAUCUAUUCCUACGGCGAACUCAGUGUGAUGAUCAUAUCUUCCAACAAGAGCAUCCUCCAGCAUGUAAUCCCACAAACACACAGUCAUAUCGUAGGAGCAAGAGGCUAACAAACCCUGUCGAUGUGGAGAGAAUUUCACUUUCCUAACUGCAUAUCCAUGGCCAUUCAAUACAGAAACCGGGGUCCUGUAGCUCCUAACAUCCCAUACCCUAAUUGAUUUAUCGACCGAAGCAGUAGCAAUACAACAAUCAUCGUACUUAUUCCAAUCGCAAGAUAGAACUUCGAAA
rnacentral:misc_RNA from 1 species